AAUUAGAUUGAUAUAGGGCAUAUGCACGGCAAGAAAAAUACAUGCCAGGAAUAGAGCAUGCCAAUUUAACGUAAGCUUUAUGUGACACAGGAGCCUUUAUGAGGAAAUAAAGAUCCGACAAACUGGGCAAACCUGCGCGUUUUGUGUCGGGUGGAACAGACAGACCUUUGUGGAAAGAGACAACUUCACGUGGGGAAGACAAAGGGAGGAAGAGAAAGGUGGACUAGAAAGCCCUCCUUGCACCUGACGUCUUUCAAGGUGCCUUUAGCUUGAGGCGGUCCUGAUGUCAACCUGCCAUAUUUGGGGUCUGUAUUCUGCUACCUCCACUGGGACUGGGGUGUGUAUUUUGGUACACACAGAGGAGUUGUUGGACUUGGUGGCUCUCCCAAGACUCAGGAGCCCAGUCACUGCCAUCUCAAUAUGCAGCUUUGGGAUCCCCACUAUGGGGGAAGGAAGCCAUGGGACCUUGCUCCAAAGGUCAUGUCCUAGAAGCUUGGUCCCCAGUAUGACCAUGUUAGGAGAAUGAUGGGUCUUUUAAGAGGUGGGGCAUAGAGGAAGGUCAAUACUGGCUCAUUCCUGCUCUCUGGCUUCCUGUCUCACCAUGUGAUUUCUCUCUUCCCCAAUGAUGGCAUCUGCCAUGAUGUGAUACAGCCAAGGGGGACCUCACCAGAGCCGGUACAGUGCUACUUGAAACUCCAAAACCAUGAGUGAAAUAAAACUUAUUUUCUUUAUAAAGCA